ensembl:lncRNA
AAUAGGAUUGAGCGUGAACAACACAAAGCCCAGCUCCUGCUCUCCAGAGAUUUCGUGGGAGUGACAGACACCAGUUAAAAUGCCUGCCCCCCUUCCCAAGGCUCAAAAAGCCGAAGAACCACCUGCAGACUUCCCCCAGGGAGUGGAUGAAAUUGCUGAUUCCCGGACUCCAAGCCCAGCUUUUCUGAAUCAGAAGCUCCAAGGAGAGUCAGCAAGCUCAAUACUCAACAUCACCUCAGGUGACUCUGAGACCACUUGCUGCCUUCGGGGAAGACAAGCCUCGGUCCUCCUCAUUUCCUGGGACAGGGGAUUUCCUCCUGGAACCUUGACUAAGCCGGAGCUGGGAAAUCAGCAGGGAGGGGAGGCCCAGGUUCACCACCCGCUUGUGAGGAGGUGAUGUCAACAAAGGUGGGAACCCUGUUCUGGGCACCGGGACCAAUGCUGGAGAGACCACUGCCAACAGGGAGCAUUCAGACUUCAAGAAGCAUACAUAUAGUCUGAAAGGGGAACCAGACGUGAAAACCAAGAAGUAUCCUAAAAAGGAAUAGGUAUAAAAAUGAAAUGGUGUACAGGGUGCAGCUGAGGGCCUCCGGGAGGAAAUGACCCACAGUGCUUCCCAGAAGAAAUGACUCCGGUGGUGAUGAGAAGGAGCAGGUGUUCUCUCAGCAGGCGUGGGACAGCCUGGCAUCCUAGUGAUCAAAACAGGGAAAUGGCCAAAAAAGGGAAAGGAAGACUUUGGGGAACUUCAAGAAGUUUGGUGUGUCCCCAUCAGGCACAUCCAGGCCAGGCUCAUCUUCUAGAAACGCUGCUUUCAUCAUCACAUGACACACACAGUCCUUCCCCAUAGGAUGCACACUGCUUCCCGGGGUGCUUUCCUCUAAGCCGGUUCCAGUAUAGUC